rnacentral:rRNA from 1 species
AUUGAACGCUGGCGGCAUGCUUUACACAUGCAAGUCGAACGGUAACAGGCCGCAAGGUGCUGACGAGUGGCGAACGGGUGAGUAAUGCAUCGGAACGUGCCCAGUCGUGGGGGAUAACUACUCGAAAGGGUAGCUAAUACCGCAUACGAUCUAUGGUUGAAAGCGGGGGACCGUAAGGCCUCGAGCGAUUGGAGCGGCCGAUGUCAGAUUAGGUAGUUGGUGGGGUAAAGGCUCACCAAGCCAACGAUCUGUAGCUGGUCUGAGCGGACGACCAGCCACACUGGGACUGAGACACGGCCCAGACUCCUACGGGAGGCAGCAGUGGGGAAUUUUGGACAAUGGGCGCAAGCCUGAUCCAGCAAUGCCGCGUGCAGGAAGAAGGCCUUCGGGUUGUAAACUGCUUUUGUACGGAACGAAACGGCUCUGGUUAAUACCCGGGGCUAAUGACGGUACCGUAAGAAUAAGCACCGGCUAACUACGUG